GACAGAGGAUGCAAGCGUUAUCCGGAAUGAUUGGGCGUAAAGCGUCUGUAGGUGGCUUUUCAAGUCCGCCGUCAAAUCCCAGGGCUCAACCCUGGACAGGCGGUGGAAACUACCAAGCUGGAGUACGGUAGGGGCAGAGGGAAUUUCCGGUGGAGCGGUGAAAUGCGUAGAGAUCGGGAGGAACACCAGUGGCGAAGGCGGCCUUCUGGACCAGUACUGACGCUCAUGCACGAAAGCGUGGGGAGCAAACAGG
rnacentral:rRNA from 1 species